rnacentral:tRNA from 1 species
GCGGGAGUAGUUCAGUUGGUAGAACAUAACCUUGCCAAGGUUGAGGUCGAGGGUUCGAAUCCCUUCUUCCGCU